rnacentral:rRNA from 1 species
ACGGGUGAGUAACGCGUAGGAAUCUGUCUUGGAGUGCGGGAUAACUUGGGGAAACUCGAGCUAAUACCACAUAAUAACCUGAGGGUGAAAGGGGGGGACCAGUAAUGGCCUCUCGCUCUAAGAGGAGCCUGCGUCGGAUUAGCUAGUUGGUAGGGUAAAGGCCUACCAAGGCGAAGAUCCGUAGCUGGUCUGAGAGGAUGAUCAGCCACACUGGGACUGAGACACGGCCCAGACUCCUACGGGAGGCAGCAGUGGGGAAUAUUGGACAAUGGGGGCAACCCUGAUCCAGCAAUGCCGCGUGUGUGAAGAAGGCCUGCGGGUUGUAAAGCACUUUAGUGAGGGAGGAAGGGGUACGUGUUAAUAGCACGUAUCAUUGACGUUACCUCAAGAAUAAGCACCGGCAAACUCUGUGCCAGCAGCCGCGGUAAUACAGAGGGUGCAAGCGUUAAUCGGAAUUACUGGGCGUAAAGGGCGCGUAGGUGGACUGUUAAGUUAUAUGUGAAAUCCCCGGGCUUAACCUGGGAACUGCAUAUAAUACUGGCAGACUAGAGUUGUGUAGAGGGAAGUGGAAUUUCCGGUGUAGCGG